GAACACACAAACGGGGCGAGGGGGGAGACGCGGCGCCCGGUGCGGCAGCGGCGGCGCGAGGGGCGGAGGGAAGUUGUCGGAAAAGUCAAGAGUGAAACUUGUCUCACCAGGUCCUCGAAGCUCCGGCGGUGCUCCUUGCCCUGCCAGUCCAGGCGCCGCGGAAUGAGCUGCGGGAGGGACACGGGGACGGGGGCGGCCGUCAGAGCCCGAGCGACCCCUCCCCGGGGAGCGCCCCCCGGUGCCCGCCCGCGCCCCCCCCCCGAGAUGGAGCCCCCCCGGCCGCUGCCCCCCGGCCCCGCCGCGGGGCAGCCGCGCUCCCGCCGGGUGUCCCGGACGGAGAUGGGCUGGGUUAGACGGGGCAGGGCAAACGCCGACCCCGCCGUCCCGAGGGCUUCCCCCGUCCCGCCGGGGCAGGCGCCUCACCUGGUGCUCCUCCAGCUCCUCCACCAGUACCUGGGGACAGAGGGACACACAGAAACACACAAAGGACGUGAGUCCGGCGACCGCAGCGCAGCGGCUCCGCCGCCCCGUCCCGUCCCGUCCCGUCCCGUCGCCGCCCGCCCGGCCCGGCCGGAGCGCCGGCUCCGCGCUCACCUGGGCGGAUUUCUUGCAGGGUCCGGACUGCAGGAACCGUGCGAUCAGUUCACAGGGGACUUCCCUCGGCCUAGCUGUGGCUGGACUGUGCUGCUGUGCAGUCACUCCCGAGCUUCUUCCCGACAUUCCUGACUCCCUGGCAGCUCAGCUUCCUCUCCUUAACGCUCUCCCAGUUGCUUCAUUACUCCCCAAGCCUGCUCCAAGGGCUGUUACCGAUACCUCUUCCCACCUCUCCCGGGUUUUCCCCUCCAGGAGUCACGUCUGAAAUGCCAAAUCCAGCUGUGGAUGGAACACCCAGGAAAAGGGGUAGCUCUGUGUCCCUCUGUGCUCUGCCAGCAGAAGGACUGGGGGAAUGAUAUCAAUGUCAGGUCCAUCCUCAGCAUCUCUGAAUUCCAACUUUGUACCUCAAAGUGCCUGGAACCCCAUGUUUCACAGCAGCAAAAUUACUACUGGGUGUAAGUGAGCAGGUGUUUGCAUUUUUGGCUUCUGCUGGAAGCCUGGGCACAAAGCAUCUGACUGCAGCUGGGAAUUUAUCACAUCUCUCCCUGGACAUGCAAAUUUUACUGGAAUGCCCUCAGCUACGUAAACAAUUUUAAUAAAAUUACAUCCCUCUGUAUCCCAUACCCUUUUCCAAAAAGUUUUGAGGAUUUCUAUAUUUUAAUUAUAUUUUUCAUUCUACAAAAAUAUCAGAAAUAUUGGGAAGGAGUGCAAUAGGGUUUUUUACAGCACUGCUUUUAUUGAAAUAAAAGGU